rnacentral:rRNA from 1 species
CGGGGUGAGUAAUGUCUGGGAAACUGCCUGAUGGAGGGGGAUAACUGCUGGAAACGGUAGCUAAUACCGCAUAACGUCGCAAGACCAAGAGGGGGACCGUUCGGGCCUCUUGCCAUCGGAUGUGCCCAGAUGGGAUUAGCUAGUAGGUGGGGUAACGGCUCACCUAGGCGACGAUCCCUAGCUGGUCUGAGAGGAUGACCAGCCACACUGGAACUGAGACACGGUCCAG